UCCUAAGUCCAACUCGUCUGCUGACUCUCCUCUAACUCUAACGCUAACUUCAACCCUAAUGCCUCCUCUCAUCUCCUCUCCUUCUCACGCCUAACUUAGCAGUCCUCACAUGAUCCACACUGCUCUGUCCAAGUUCCAACGGCGGCGGGAGUUCUCAGGCACCUUACACCAAGGGACUAUUUGCUUUCCUUUAUCCCCUUUCAGGGCAUCUUUAGCCAUCAGUUGAAUUUAGUGAUGGCUACUGUUUUUUGUAUUAGUGAUGGAUCAGCAGCCAAUCCAUGGAACCUAUGCAGUAUGCAGCAAGUGCAAGAAGCUAAAUGUGUUGUAAGGAUAAUUCCUAUUUGGGCUGCAGCAAUUGUAUACCAUAUUGCAAUAAUUCAGCAGCUUGAGUAUUUGUUGAACUGCUUAUCACUGUGGGCUGCUGCUACUGAUUUUUGUAUCUACGACUGCUACUGAUUUUUGUGCCAACUUGGCUGCUGCCUGCUACUGAUUUUCGCUGCUGCUACUUACUUGGCUGCUGCUAUUUUUCCUUGGCUGCUGCUAUCUGCUACUUAUUUUUCCUGUUUCGUGACAUCUCAAAACAUGAAACAAUUGUAUAUAGUAUUGUCUGCUACGACCAAUCAAUCAAGUAUCCCAGUCUCCAACAAGUAGAAAACCGAAUUAGAAAAACCGAAACCGAACCGAACCGAACUUCAAAAAACCGAACCGAACCGAAUUAAUUCGGUACGGUGUU